rnacentral:rRNA from 1 species
ACUCCUGCGGGAGGCAGCAGUGGGGAAUAUUGGACAAUGGGCGCAAGCCUGAUCCAGCCAUGCCGCGUGAGUGAUGAAGGCCCUAGGGUUGUAAAGCUCUUUCACCGGUGAAGAUAAUGACGGUAACCGGAGAAGAAGCCCCGGCUAACUUCGUGCCAGCAGCCGCGGUAAUACGAAGGGGGCUAGCGUUGUUCGGAUUUACUGGGCGUAAAGCGCACGUAGGCGGACUAUUAAGUCAGGGGUGAAAUCCCGGGGCUCAACCCCGGAACUGCCUUUGAUACUGGUAGUCUUGAGUUCGAGAGAGGUGAGUGGAAUUCCGAGUGUAGAGGUGAAAUUCGUAGAUAUUCGGAGGAACACCAGUGGCGAAGGCGGCUCACUGGCUCGAUACUGACGCUGAGGUGCGAAAGCGUGGGGAGCAAACAGGAUUAGAUACUCUGGUAGUCCCA